rnacentral:rRNA from 1 species
GAUGAACGCUGGCGGCGUGCCUAAUACAUGCAAGUCGAGCGAACGGACGAGAAGCUUGCUUCUCUUAUGUUAGCGGCGGACGGGUGAGUAACACGUUGAUAACCUACCUAUAAUACUGGGAUAACUUCGGGAAACCGGAGCUAAUACCGGAUAAUAUUUUGAACCGCAUGGUUCAAAAGUGAAAGACGGUCUUGCUGCCACUUAUAGAUGGAUCCGCGGUGCAUUAGCGAGUUGGUAGUGUAACGGCUUACCAAGGCAACGGUGCAUAGCCGACCUGAGAGGGGGAACGCCAACACUGAAGCUGACAGCCGGUACGGCCACCGAGGAAAGGCAGAGACACGUAAUCUAGGGAACAGGGCGAAAGACUGACGGAGGAACGCCACGUGAAUGAUGCAGGUCCUCGUGCAGUAAAACUCUCUUAUUAGGGAAAAACAUAUGUGGAAGUAACUGAGCAUAUCUUGAAGGAACCGGAAAAGAAAGCCACGGCAAACAACGU